CCUACGGGAGGCAGCAGUGGGGAAUCUUGCGCAAUGGGCGAAAGCCUGACGCAGCCAUGCCGCGUGAAUGAUGAAGGUCUUAGGAUUGUAAAAUUCUUUCACCGGGGACGAUAAUGACGGUACCCGGAGAAGAAGCCCCGGCUAACUUCGUGCCAGCAGCCGCGGUAAUACGAAGGGGGCUAGCGUUGCUCGGAAUUACUGGGCGUAAAGGGAGCGUAGGCGGAUAGUUUAGUCAGAGGUGAAAGCCCAGGGCUCAACCUUGGAAUUGCCUUUGAUACUGGCUAUCUUGAGUUUGGGAGAGGUGAGUGGAACUCCGAGUGUAGAGGUGAAAUUCGUAGAUAUUCGGAAGAACACCAGUGGCGAAGGCGACUCACUGGCCCAAUACUGACGCUGAGGCUCGAAAGCGUGGGGAGCAAACAGGAUUAGAUACCCUGGUAGUCCACGCCGUAAACGAUGAGUGCUAGUUGUCGGCAUGCAUGCAUGUCGGUGACGCAGCUAACGCAUUAAGCACUCCGCCUGGGGAGUACGGUCGCAAGAUUAAAACUCAAAGGAAUUGACGG
rnacentral:rRNA from 1 species